GGCCUUCGGGUUGUAAACCUCUUUCGACCGGGACGAAGGGUAACUGACGGUACCGGUAGAAGAAGCACCGGCCAACUACGUGCCAGCAGCCGCGGUAAUACGUAGGGUGCGAGCGUUGUCCGGAAUUAUUGGGCGUAAAGAGCUCGUAGGCGGUGUGUCACGUCGGUCGUGAAAACUUGGGGCUUAACCCUGAGCGUGCGGUCGAUACGGGCAUCACUUGAGU
rnacentral:rRNA from 1 species